UACGAAGGGGACUAGCGUUGUUCGGAAUUACUGGGCGUAAAGCGCACGUAGGCGGAUUUGUCAGUCAGGGGUGAAAUCCCGGGGCUCAACCUCGGAACUGCCUUUGAUACAGCAAGUCUAGAAUCCGAUAGAGGUGGGUGGAAUUCCUAGUGUAGAGGUGAAAUUCGUAGAUAUUAGGAAGAACACCGGUGGCGAAGGCGGCCCACUGGAUCGGUAUUGACGCUGAGGUGCGAAAGCGUGGGGAGCAAACAGG
rnacentral:rRNA from 1 species